UACGAAGGGGGGCUAGCGUUGCUCGGAAUUACUGGGCGUAAAGGGCGCGUAGGCGGAUAGUUUAGUCAGAGGUAAAAGCCCAGGGCUCAACCUUGGAACUGCCUUUGAUACUGGCUAUCUUGAGUUCGGGAGAGGUGAGUGGAAUGCCGAGUGUAGAGGUGAAAUUCGUAGAUAUCGAGAGGAACACCGGUGGCGAAGGCGGCCAACUGGACGAAUACUGACGCUGAGACACGAAAGCGUGGGGAGCAAACAGG
rnacentral:rRNA from 1 species